UGGGUUUUUACUUUAUAGGGAUAGAAAGCAAAGAGGAGAAAGCUUUGGAACUUGCAAUUCCCUUCCUCAACAAAUACCCACAACGGAAUUACCAAGCGGAAGACCUUCUCUUAUAUUUAAUCUCGUUGUCUCUCUUUUUGAGCUUCUUCUCCCUCUCUCUGUAGUCGGUAGCUAAUAAAUGGCGGCGUCUCAAGGCAGUCUUCUCCUCCAAAAGCAGCUCAAAGAUCUCUGCAAGAAACCCGUUGAUGGAUUCUCUGCGGGUUUAGUCGAUGAGAACAAUGUAUUUGAAUGGAGUGUUUCAAUUAUGGGACCCCCUGAUACCUUAUAGUGAGAAUCAAUUAUUUUAUACAUGUUAUGUGAAUUUAAAGUUUGGGUUUUUUCAAUUUCCUAUGAAUUUUUCCUUUUGCCUUCGAUUCUGUUUAAGAGUGUUGGAUUUUCUGAUUUUGAUGCAGUGGUCUAGCCUCUUUUAUGCACAUGUGUGUUGGGUAUUCUUGUUAUUUGUUAUAUGAAGGAAUUCUAAUGUAGCUUAUUGAUUUUGUUAUCAGGGUUUAUGGGUUUUUGUUUUGGGGGCGAUUAGAUUGAAAUCAGGCUGGCUUUGGCGUUAUCAUUGUUAAAUGUUACAAUUUUCUUGUUAAAAUGAUCAAAGUUUCGUAUCUUUGAAGUUUGAACUCUAGUGAUUAUUGACUGUGAUUAUGAUAUUGACUCCCUGCUUGAGAAGCUACCUAGAGGUGCUGAAUGAAGACCUUUUGGUGAGCCAAGACCAUAAUAUUACACGCGUGGAUUAUUUGAUCAUCUAACGAAACAAUCUAUAUAUUUAUUUGAUUUUGAGUUUUGUUGCUUUCACAUGUUUUGGGAAAAUCUAGUCACAAGGAUGAUAGAAUGGUGCAUAACUGUUAUACAAAUAUAUAAAAUACAUCCGACCUUCCGGAAAUGUAAUUAUUAUUUUGAUUUAUGGGUAACCAUAUGCAAAGCUUUUAUAACAAGCAAAUCUAUUGUAUUUGUUUUGGCUUAUGAAGGGUGAAAUAUGUUUUUGGCUGACAAUCAAUCCUCUUGUUACAGCGAAGGGGGCUUCUUCAGUGCCAUCAUGAGCUUUCCACAGAACUAUCCCAUCAGUCCUCCAACUGUGAGGUUCACUACAGAGGUGUGGCAUCCAAAUGUUUACCCUGAUGGAAAGGUUUGCAUAUCAAUUCUUCAUCCACCUGGUGAUGACCCAAAUGGCUAUGAGCUUGCAAUUGAGCGUUGGAGUCCAGUCCACACUGUUGAAAGCAUUGUUUUGAGCAUUAUAUCAAUGCUUUCUAGUCCUAAUGAUGAGUCUCCUGCCAAUAUUGAUGCUGCGGUAAGUAAGAUAUUAUUUCUUUUGGUUAAGGUGCCUUUCCACAAUUGCUUUUGAGGCAUGUUCCUUUGCUAGGACUUCAUGGGGUGAAUAUACAAGAAAAUAUGGUGUUUAUGAUUCUACUGGAUUAUUGAUACAAGAAAAUAUGGGAUUUAUGAUUAAUCCUCAAGAUGGGUUGUAGAUCAUCUCAUUAACAUUAGACUGAAAUUUUAAUUCUAAUAGCUACCAUUGCUGUCAUUGCUCCUUCUGAGCCUCCAGUGUUGUUACCAUUGAUCUAACCAUCACUCUGACCAAUGAACCACUACUGCUUCAUCCCUACCAGAAACUUCACUAAUACCAUCUAGCCAUCAUCAUCAAUGGUUCACCACCAAUAGGGUGAAACAUCAGUACCACAAUGGCACAACCUAUAAACAUCCACCACAUCACCAAUUCUUGCCUUAGUGAAAAACAACAUAUUUUGAGAUGUUUAAAAUUUAAGGCCGAAACUUUAGGAGUCAUAGCAUUUAUAAAAUUCUUAUGAUCCCAAACUCUGGUAUUUUCGUGAGAAUUCCAAGAAUAUGGUCAAGUUCUUUUAAAGAGUAGAUAUAAUUGCAAUUGUAUUAUACAUGACAUUGCAUGUUGCACGUAUCCGUGCUUCCAGUGGCACUAAUUGUCCACAUUAAUCCGUUUCUUAGUGAUUGCAUGUACAAUGAUCAAUUUUUCCACUUAUAUCUUUUUCUUGUUUAUUCCAAUGCCACAUUUUUAACACUUCUGGAUUGUAUGUCUGUAGAAACAAUGGAGAGAUAGUAGGGAAGAGUUCAGGAAGAGAGUGAGUCGAUGCGUGAGAAAAUCGCAAGAACUGUUGUGAUCCGAGGAACUGCUGCAUUGCUUGCUGCUGAACGUUUUCAAUCAAGAAAGGAAGUGGUGGCCAUCAGACCAUAUACUGAAUCAUGUAACAUUCCAUUUACUUUCUGUUACCAAUCCAUUAUAACCUUAAAACUUUUUGCUCGUCUUUGAGCAAUAAGUGUUUAGUAUGAACUUGAAUGAACCUGAAUUGGCUUCUUCAAAUGUUAGAGGUUUAAUUUGAUUGAAAUGAGUUACAAUAAUAGUAUUCUUCAAUUUUGC
rnacentral:misc_RNA from 1 species